UUUAAUAAGAGAAAUACAGGUGCUCAAUUUAAUUAAUUGAGUUAAAAGGGAAGCAGGUGUAAAUCCUGCACGGUCCCGCCACUGUAAUGAUGAGUUCUUUACAUUAUGCCACUGUCUUAUGUAAUUAUAGAUGGGAAGGCGUAAAGGAUGAUGAAUCUAAGUCAGGAGACCUGCCUGUAUUGUUAUGAACUU
rnacentral:ncRNA from 2 species